UUUGAUCCUGGCUCAGAACGAACGCUGGCGGCGUGCCUAACACAUGCAAGUCSAACGGAUUUGAGGGGCUUGCUCCUCAAGUUAGUGGCGCACGGGUGAGUAACGCGUAGAUAAUCUGCCUGAUGAUCUGGGAUAACACUUCGAAAGGGGUGCUAAUACCGGAUAAGCCCACGGGGUCUUUGGAUUCUGCGGGAAAAGGGGGGGACCUUCGGGCCUUCUGUCAUCAGAUGAGUCUGCGUACCAUUAGCUAGUUGGUAGGGUAAUGGCCUACCAAGGCUACGAUGGUUAGCUGGUUUGAGAGAAUGAUCAGCCACACUGGAACUGAGACACGGUCCAGACUCCUACGGGAGGCAGCAGUGGGGAAUUUUGCGCAAUGGGCGAAAGCCUGACGCAGCAACGCCGCGUGAGUGAUGAAGGCUUUCGGGUCGUAAAGCUCUGUCGAGGGGAAAGAAGUGUAUUGUGGCUAAUAUCCACGAUACUUGACGGUACCCCUAAAGGAAGCACCGGCUAACUCCGUGCCAGCAGCCGCGGUAAUACGGGGGGUGCAAGCGUUGUUCGGAUUUAUUGGGCGUAAAGAGCGUGUAGGCGGUUUGUUAAGUCUGAUGUGAAAGCCCUGGGCUCAACCCAGGAAGUGCAUUGGAAACUGGCAGACUUGAAUACGGGAGAGGGCAGUGGAAUUCCUAGUGUAGGAGUGAAAUCCGUAGAUAUUAGGAGGAACACCGGUGGCGAAGGCGGCUGCCUGGACCGAUAUUGACGCUGAGACGCGAAAGCGUGGGUAGCAAACAGGAUUAGAUACCCUGGUAGUCCACGCCGUAAACGAUGAGAACUAGKUGUUGCGGGUAUUGACCCCUGCAGUGCCGCAGCUAACGCAUUAAGUUCUCCSGCUGGGAAGUACGGUCGCAAGACUAAACUCAAAGGAAUUGACGGG
rnacentral:rRNA from 1 species